CACUCGAUUUGCUGACCGCCUAAGUCAUUGCUUGAAUGCAGCCCCGAGGAGGGUGGUANGCCCGUGUGGCGGCGCCUGUAAAAAGGUUGGAAGCAAUUUGGGCGGAGGGAUUUUUACCGUANAGUCNGGUUGCUUAGUACUGCAGCCCUAAGUAGGUGGUAAACUCCAUCUAAGGCUAAAUACUACCACGAGUCCGAUAUUUGACAAGUACCGUGAGGGAAAGCUGAAAAGGACUCUGAAGAGAGAGUUCAAGAGGACGUGAAACCAUUAGAAGCUGAAACGGGUGGAACCGUGAAGGUGGAAAGAGGGGAUUCAGGCUGUGGGC
rnacentral:rRNA from 1 species